rnacentral:rRNA from 1 species
UACGGGGGGGGGCAAGCGUUGUUCGGAAUUACUGGGCGUAAAGGGCUCGUAGGCGGCCAACUAAGUCGGAUGUGAAAACCCAGGGCUCAACCCUGGGCCUGCAUUCGAUACGGGCAGACUAGAGUUCGGUAGGGGAGACUGGAAUUCCUGGUGUAGCGGUGAAAUGCGCAGAUAUCAGGAGGAACACCGGUGGCGAAGGCGGGUCUCUGGGCCGAAACUGACGCUGAGGAGCGAAAGCGUGGGGAGCGAACAGGA